UGCGGGAGAUGAUUGGUAACUGAUCAGUGGUGGAGUUUGGUAAUAGGGUGAGGGUGUUUGGUAGUUUUGGGUAGGCUGAUAUGUGAUUGGAGGCAUUGGGUAUGUUGGUAUUUGAUGGGAGAUUUGGUUCUCUGUGCUACCAUCACGGCUUCUACGUCCCUUUAUUUGGACACACCGCCUGACUGUAAGGCAUUUUUUGUAGCUUGCAAAGCCUCAAAAUUCGUAACCAUACCGCUUUUGAUGCCUUCU
rnacentral:lncRNA from 1 species